rnacentral:rRNA from 1 species
AGCGUAGGUGGCCUUUCAAGUCAGAUGUGAAAUCUCCUGGCUUAACCAGGAGGGGUCAUUUGAUACUGUUGGGCUAGAGGACAUCAAGGGAAGGUGGAAUUCCGGGUGUAGUGGUGAAAUGCGUAGAUAUCCGGAGGAACACCAGUGGCGAAGGCGGCCUUCUGGGAUGUUUCUGACACUGAGGCUCGAAAGUGUGGGGAGCGAACAG